rnacentral:lncRNA from 1 species
ACAUAGAGUGAUCCAGACAAUCCUUUAGGGAAAACUUAUUUUUAAAACAAUCUAAAUUCUCAGCAGCUUCAGCUAUUACCACAGAACACUCUAUGGUCUGCUCUCAGUUUGCAGUUCCAUCCUUGCCCUAGCUCUCCUGACUUAUAAAUUUAUGUUUUUGGUACCAGCCUAUCACCAUAAAAUAAAAUAAAAUAAAAUAAAAUAAAAUAAAAUAUAUCACCUUAUUUAUUAAGAUUUCCUUCUCUGUGUCUUCUUGUGUAUUUUCAUUUUAGAAAAUAGCUAAGGAAUCUCUCCUUUUAUAAAUCAUAUUCUCUUCCCCAGGCUAAUAUCUAUAUCUAUAUCAUCUAUAUCUAUAUCUAUAUCUAUAUCUAUAUCUAUAUCUAUCUAUAUCUCUCUGUUCUGUGUGUAUAUUACCUCUCUACAUUUAUAAAUUCACUGUAAUCAUAGAUACAUUCUUGCUUUACUACUAUUACUACUACUACUAUAACUAAUAUUUUGCUAUAUUCCUGUAUAUAUAUUGGAUAUAAUUUUCAUCCACCAAUUUCUCUUGAUGACAGAUACCCUUGGAGCAUGAAAAAAAAAAACUUCUGCUAAUCUUAAAGAGAUUAUGAAUUAUUUCAGUACUGGAAGAGGAAGACCAGGCAGGCACAGCUUCUGGUCCUGCUAUGACAGUACUGUUCUGGGCUUGAGAAUUCUUUGUCUUCCACACUUGGAAAGUGAUUACACCAAAGUCGGAUUCAUUGGAAAUAUAUAAUUUCCUGUCAUGUCUGCAGACCCUGUCAGUAGAGAGAAGUUGAAACGCAUUCCCUGAAUGAAUCAAUGAAGACUAGAAGUGAAAGCCUCAUUAAUGUCUGAGGUUGAAUGCAGCUGGGCUGGCGCAGUCAUAGAAUUUGACUUUUCUUUGCAGUUUCUCAUUAAGCCCACAGAAUUCUUUGUGGGUGUCAUCUGAGCCUGGUGCGUAGGCAGUCACAUGGACAAAGCCUCUAGAGAAGGUUACCAUGCAUUAUUGAGGGAAGUCAAGGCAGGAACUGAAGAACAAGCCAAGGAGGAACACUGAUUAUCAGAUUGAUUCCCAUGAUUGUGCAGCCUGUUUUUGUAUACUUCCUAGGACCACCUGUCCAGGAAGGACAACAUCACCCACAAUGGGCCUGGUCCUCCACAACAAUCAUUAAUCAAGGUUCAGAGGUUCAGUCCAUUAUCAUCAAGAUGGGAGCAUGGUAGCAUCCAGGCAGGCAUGGUGCAGGAGAAGCUGAGCGAUCUACGUCUUCAUCUGAAAGGGGCUAGGACAAGACUGGCUCCCAAGGGGUUAUGAAGAAAUCUCUUAAUUACAGUGAAGCAGCAAUCAAAAACAGAAAAGAGGACUGGCUCAUUCUUAACAAGAAUCUCAAAUGUACUGGGAACACUCUCAACUGGUAAAAUUCUAUCAAAUGUCAAAGGGAUAUAACCAGAAAAAUGAAGCAAUAUUUCAUGCAGAAAAUUUGCAAAAGAAGUGAAACUGAUUCCAAAGCCAAUGGAAACAUUUGGCUUUUAUGUGCUACAAUGAGAACAAACUGCUCUGCUCUUGUUAGCUUAAAGUUUUCAUUAAUCUGUAACUCUCAAAUUUUAUUUUGACUUCAUUUCUGCACAAACCUACGUGUUAAGUUUUAAAGUUAAACAACACAAUUCAAAUGAUUGCAGCUUUCUAUGAGUUUACUUUGUAUAAAUGCUUUUGAAUGUACUUGUGAAUGUUAGAAAUCUACUUUGAAAUAGGUCAUUACUAUGUAAAAGUGCAUAAUAUGUGCAUAUGUACACUGAUGUUUUCCCCUAUUUAUCCAUAUUGUUGUUAUUCAAGAGGAUCAGGAGGAGGUCAGUAUUUGAAGUAUGUACAAAGGUACCAGAGACACAGGAGAAAAAUACUUUAAAAUCCAUGGGAUAAUCAUGUCUCUUACAAAAGUUCUAUGUUUCAAACUCAUUUACAUAUGAGUUAAAAGAAAACAUUAUUUUAUUCAUGUUAGACUUUGAAAGGUCUAACCGCAGGAACAAUUUGUACGAUGGUACAUGAAUGUGUUCACAUUUUGACAAUUUUGCUAGUUUUAAUAACUGACAUUUAGUCCCCUGUUUUCUCACAGAUUAACUUCCUUCAGUUUUAGUCAGGACGGAUCAUCUGGUUUCUCUGUUUCAGUUUCUAUGCCUUUUGAGUUUCUGCUCCUAUUCAUUGAGAACUUUUCUUGUUUGUGGCGUGCAAUCUGCUGUUAAACCAGUACAGCUCAAAGGUAUCACUGUUAGGUUCAGAAGUUGUACCUGCUUCUCCGUAAUAGUAAAUAUGUUGUUGAUUUAAAACA